rnacentral:rRNA from 1 species
AGGGGUUUAUCGGUAUUACUGGGCGUAAAGCGCGCGUAGGUGGUUAGUUAAGUUGGAUGUGAAAUCCCCGGGCUCAACCUGGGAACUGCAUUCAAAACUGACUGACUAGAGUAUGGUAGAGGGUGGUGGAAUUUCCUGUGUAGCGGUGAAAUGCGUAGAUAUAGGAAGGAACACCAGUGGCGAAGGCGACCACCUGGACUGAUACUGACACUGAGGUGCGAAAGCGUGGGGGAGCAAACAGGAUUAGAUACCCUGGUAGUCCACGCCGUAAACGAUGUCAACUAGCCGUUGGGAGCCUUGAGCUCUUAGUGGCGCAGCUUAACGCAUUAAGUUGACCCCCUGGGGGAGUACGGCCGGCAGGGUUAAAACUCAAAUGGAAUUGAGGGGGGCCCCCCCAAGCGUUGGAACAAUGUGGUUUAAUUUCGAAAGCACGGGGAAGAACCUUACCAGGCCUUGAAAUCCCAAUGAACUUUCUAGAGAUAGAUUGGUGCCUUCGGAAACUUUGAAACAGGCGCGGCAGGUUUUGGUAAGCUGGGUCGGGGAAAGGUUGGGUUAAGUCCCGUAACGGGCCCAACCUUUGGCCUUGAGUUACCAGCACGUAAGGGUGGGCCCCUCUAAGGGGAUUCCGGUGACAAACCGAAGAAGGGGGAUUGACGUCAAGGUCUUCAUGCCCUUACGCCUGGGCUACACCGUCAACAUGUCGGACAAAGGGUUGCCAGCCGCGAGUGGACCUAUCCCCAAACCGAUCGUAGUCGGAUCGAGUCGCACUUGACUGCUGAGUCGAAAUCACUAGUAAUCGCGAUCAAAUGUCGCGUGAUCUCUCCCCCCCUAUAUAA